GAAGUAAAAUGCUGGAUUCAAACAAAGGCUUGUACAAUCACUGAGUUGGAAAAAAUUUAAUAAAAAACAAUAAACUUACAUCUAAAUAUGUACAAGUCUGGUAAAUGAAGAGAAAGUAUUAUCACCUACACAAACAAUAUAAAAGCUCAUGACCAGACGCGCUACUACACUUGUAUUAUGUACUUGUGUUUACAAACUGUAGUAAACCAUAAAGAUCAAACCCUGCAUACUUUUAUGACUUGCAAGAAGGUUUUUUGCUGACAUGCCCGUUUGAUAUUACACACAUACUACAACAUGGUCAAUUGGUCAGUAACUUGGCAUAAAUAGUUUUCGAAAGCAAAGCAUGUAAGACUAUUAUUAAGCUGUUUAUGCAUCUUCUGCCUGCAGGAUAUCCUUCUGGCUGGACGCACACACGUUCGCGCGCUUGCUGCGACCGGAUUUAGGCUUGUUUGAAUAAGGAUAACGAUAGCAAAACGCAUCGCGGGUAGCGUGUGUGCGGUGUAGAGAUGCAAGCGCCCCGGUUCGACGUAUGAUGCGUAUUAGUAAAUCGAUUGAGGCGUGGGCGCAGCACAGUACACUGUGUAUUGACAUAAGGUUGCUACAACCUGCACUACUUUAAAUACUAUACAACGUAUACAGCGUUCUUUCUAACGUAUUCGGACUGUAAGCAAAGGGGAGCUUGGACAACGUGUUAACAUUAGUACGGUAAUGCUUUUGUCUAAACAGACCUGCCGACUUUCUGCGCAUACUAGUUUGCUGAGCUGUUAAUUCUACCUAGCCAGAGGUGCCUUUACGGUCGUUCGUUGACGAAAUAAUAGCCACAACCGACGCUGAGUAAGCCUGCGCAGAACAAUAUGCCUCAAGCUAUGACAAAGCGGAAAGAAUAUACGCAAGGCACGCGGCCGAUUUCGCUAUAGAGAGAGCCGAAUGGGCGAGUAAAUUCAACCACAGCAACGAACCGUUCGUUCUGUGUUCGGUAGAAAAAGGGCCGGUGUAGCGAGAGAAAGUAAGAGACAAAAAAACGACUAACUGCCUUUGCCACGCACGUACGCAUCCCAACGUAGUGAACAAAAGGUGUUUCACUACUUGAAUAAGCUCGCAAAAAUAUUCCGAGACCCACUACGAGUUACGAGAUCACACAAAGGGCAAAUCGAUUGCGGACUUUUGCGGCAGCCAUUCGAUUGCGAUUUCGCUGCUGAAGUGUUUUGCGGUCUGCCAGACUACUUAGCGACAAUUAGUCGUUUUCGCGACCAGUGAACGCCGCAAAUUACAACCGGCCUCAUGGCGCUUAAAUUCAAAUGAGAUGCCAUGUAUGUUUGGUCAAUAAAUUAAACACAAGAUGAGCAAGUUACAGUUCAAACCCAAAUUAAAUAUUAAUAAAAAUUACGGAUUUCUUGGCAAUAACACAUACGAUAUUAAUAUCCAAUCUAAUGCAUACAAUGAAUACUUCUAAAUCGAGUGGUAAAAAUAAACAGCAUUGUAUUCGGUGGGUAAAGAGCACCGUAUGCUGGCGAAGACGCAGAAAACUUAUAAUCGCUAGAGGGGGCAAUUAAGUCAGUCUUAACCAACGCAUCAUGUCAACGGUUGUAAUAAUUACUCAAAUAAAUAAACAUAGCAAUUAAAUUAACCAAAAUAGUCAGAAUUUUAAAAAUGAAAGCACUAAUUCUGCAGGUUUACUUUUAACUGUAUUUUUUUAUAAUUUAUUUAUAAAAAGCUAACAAUACGGAGAAUACUAGCAGUUGUAAAACAUUUCUAAGGCGUUUAAAUUAACAUCUAGCACAAUUGCCAUUGUUUAAAUGUCUGUAUGUGACGUAACAAUAGCUUAUUUAUGUGGUAGCGAUUCACUGGGUACACGGGCUUUACCAACUCAAAAAAUAUGUAUACAAAAUAUAUGGUUUACCAAAGCAAAAAUUAAAAAAUUUAGUGACAAACAGAAUAAUAAUCGCUAAAAUAUUCACUGAUUCAGACCCGGUAAUUUCCCACUGCACAAGCGCUUAAUUAAAACGAUGUUCUGAGCUAAAUAUCGCCAUAGCGGUAAGCCCAUAUGUGUUGUGGUGUUUAGAGAUUAGUGACAAACUAAAACAAUACCCGGAAACGGCGUUUGGCCGGAUUUUCAUACACAAAUAUAACGACUGUUAGGCUUAGUUGAGUUUGUUUUAAAUUCCGGGAUUCUUAGGUACAUUGCUUUACAAAGUGAAGCUUGAUUUCAUCGGACAAGCGGGCAAGGUUCAAGGGUGCGAACUAUACGGCUGGGAACUUUUCGGCGGUUGCUUUACGUCAUUGUGUUCAACACAAUAGUUAACUGUGGUGUCUCGGCCAAUACGAAAAGCAAAUAAACCCAAGAAACCGCAGUGCUAAUUAAAAACCGUUUAUCUUAUGCAUUUGGGGUGGUGGGAAAACAAGACGUAAGGUAAGGAGACAUUAGUUUACGAAAAAGCGAAUGCUACACAAGUAAUGGCACGUAAACAAGAGAGUCUCUGUUUUCCGACAACAAAUGGUACAGUGCUGAAAUACCAAGUGUGUAUGUCUUACACGGUGAGGUAUUUUUAGCUGAUUACGCGGAAAUUUUGACACAAAGAAAGAACAGAGUAAUACCAUGGUGACGUUGCGGCGACGGAAUGUUGCAUUUGAGAGUUUUUUCGUUUUUUUUGUUUACCCAAAACUUACUAAGUGGAGAGUGGUUAUACCGAGUCGACAAACACACUCCUUCGAAACA